rnacentral:rRNA from 1 species
GAUGAACGCUGGCGGCGUGCCUAAUACAUGCAAGUCGAGCGAACAGACGAGGAGCUUGCUCCUCUGACGUUAGCGGCGGACGGGUGAGUAACACGUGGAUAACCUACCUAUAAGACUGGGAUAACUUCGGGAAACCGGAGCUAAUACCGGAUCAUAUAUUGAACCGCAUGGUUCAAUAGUGAAAGACGGUUUUGCUGUCACUUAUAGAUGGUUCCGCGCCGCAUUAGCUAGUUGGUAAGGUAACGGCUUACCAAGGCAACGAUGCGUAGCCGACCUGAGAGGGUGAUCGGCCACACUGGAACUGAGACACGGUCCAGACUCCUACGGGAGGCAGCAGUAGGGAAUCUUCCGCAAAGGGCGAAAGCCUGACGGAGCAACGCCGCGUGAGUGAUGAAGGUCUUCGGAUCGUAAAACUCUGUUAUUAGGGAAGAACAAAUGUGUAAGUAACUAUGCACGUCUUGACGGUACCUAAUCAGAAAGCCACGGCUAACUACGUG